AGAGUUUGAUCCUGGCUCAGAUUGAACGCUGGCGGCAUGCUUUACACAUGCAAGUCGAACGGCAGCACGGGUGCUUGCACCUGGUGGCGAGUGGCGAACGGGUGAGUAAUGCACCGGAACGUACCCAGUAAUGGGGGAUAACACAUCGAAAGAUGUGCUAAUACCGCAUACGCCCUGAGGGGGAAAGCGGGGGAUCGUAAGACCUCGCGUUAUUGGAGCGGCCGAUGCCGGAUUAGCUAGUUGGUGAGGUAAGAGCUCACCAAGGCGACGAUCCGUAGCCGGUCUGAGAGGACGACCAGCCACACUGGGACUGAGACACGGCCCAGACUCCUACGGGAGGCAGCAGUGGGGAAUUUUGGACAAUGGGCGCAAGCCUGAUCCAGCCAUGCCGCGUGAGUGAAGAAGGCCUUCGGGUUGUAAAGCUCUUUCGCAAGGAAAGAAAACUUAUCUACUAA
rnacentral:rRNA from 1 species